rnacentral:rRNA from 1 species
UACGAAGGGGGCUAGCGUUGUUCGGAAUCACUGGGCGUAAAGCGUAUGUAGGCGGAUUGUUAAGUCAGGGGUGAAAUCCCGAGGCUCAACCUCGGAACUGCCUUUGAUACUGGCUUUCUUGAGUUCGGGGGAGGUGAGUGGAACUCCUAGUGUAGAGGUGAAAUUCGUAGAUAUUAGGAAGAACACCAGUGGCGAAGGCGGCUCACUGGCCCGAAACUGACGCUGAUGUACGAAAGCGUGGGGAGCAAACAGG